rfam:Canis lupus familiaris chromosome 21, whole genome shotgun sequence.
UGGUGACCUGAGGCUCCCUGGCUGUCACUCUGUCCCAGGCCCGUCCUGGCCGCGGGCACAGGCUGAGUCGCAGUAGAGUCUGUGGGGUCCUGACCC